GCGGGGGUGCCCGAGCCAGGACAAAGGGGACGGGUACUCCUCCCGUUGGCGAAGGCCUGCGUGGGUUCGAAUCCCACCCCCCGCACCA
rnacentral:tRNA from 1 species